rnacentral:rRNA from 1 species
GAUGAACGCUGGCGGCGUGCUUAACACAUGCAAGUCGAACGGAAAGGCUCCUGCUUGCAGGGGUACUCGAGUGGCGAACGGGUGAGUAACACGUGGGUGAUCUGCCCUGCACUUCGGGAUAAGCCUGGGAAACUGGGUCUAAUACCGGAUAGGUCCACAUUUUGGAUGGUGUGGUGGAAAGUUUUUCGGUGUGGGAUGAGCUCGCGGCCUAUCAGCUUGUUGGUGGGGUAAUGGCCUACCAAGGCGUCGACGGGUAGCCGGCCUGAGAGGGUGUACGGCCACAUUGGGACUGAGAUACGGCCCAGACUCCUACGGGAGGCAGCAGUGGGGAAUAUUGCACAAUGGGCGCAAGCCUGAUGCAGCGACGCCGCGUGGGGGAUGACGGCCUUCGGGUUGUAAACUCCUUUCGCUAGGGACGAAGCGCAAGUGACGGUACCUGGAGAAGAAGCACCGGCUAACUACGUG